UUGGUCAAUGGCCGAAAGGCUGAACCAGUAACUUGGAAGAAUGAAUGUAUUAUUAAACUAAUACAAUAACGAUUUUUGUGUAUAAAAUUCUAAAUAGGAUAAAGAUAAUGACAAUUUUCUAUUUAUAAGUCUUGACCAAAUUACGUGCCAGCAGUCGCGGUAAUACGUAAGAGGCUAGUAUUAAUCAUCUUUAUUAGGUUUAAAGGGUACCUAGACGGUAAAUUAAACUCUUAUUGAGUACUUUUUUACUAGAGUUUUAUGAGAGAAGGGAGAAUUUCUGGAGUAGUGAUGGAAUCUUAUGAUACCAGGAGGACUGAUAACGGCGAAGGCAUCCUUCUAUGUAAAAACUGACGUUGAGGGACGAAGGCUUGGGUAGCGAUAAGGAUUAGAUACCCCAAUAGUCCAAGCAGACAAUGAUGAAUGUCAUAGGCUAGAUAAUUUUUUAUUUCAUUUAGUCUAUAAAUGAAAGUGUAAGCAUUCCACCUCAAGAGUAAUAUGGCAACAUAUAAACUGAAAUCAUUUGACCGUUUCUGAAAUCAGUAGUGAAGUAU
rnacentral:rRNA from 1 species